AAACUCAAAUGAAUUGACGGGGCACCCGCACAAGCGGUGGAUGAUGUGGUUUAAUUCGAUGCAACGCGAAAAACCUUACCUACCCUUGACAUGUCAAGAAUUCUGCAGAGAUGUGGAAGUGCUCGAAAGAGAACUUGAACACAGGUGCUGCAUGGCCGUCGUCAGCUCGUGUCGUGAGAUGUUGGGUUAAGUCCCGCAACGAGCGCAACCCUUGUCAUUAGUUGCUACGAAAGGGCACUCUAAUGAGACUGCCGGUGACAAACCGGAGGAAGGUGGGGAUGACGUCAGGUCCUCAUGGCCCUUAUGGGUAGGGCUACACACGUCAUACAAUGGCCGGUACAGAGGGCUGCCAACCCGCGAGGGGGAGCUAAUCCCAGAAAACCGGUCGUAGUCCGGAUCGUAGUCUGCAACUCGACUGCGUGAAGUCGGAAUCGCUAGUAAUCGCGGAUCAGCUUGCCGCGGUGAAUACGUUCCCGGGUCUUGUACACACCGCCCG
rnacentral:rRNA from 1 species